CACAUACAAACACCCCCCCCACACACAACUGACAUCCAGUUGCAGUUCUGUUCCCACUCUCCCCUGAACUCCCCACUCUCCUCUCCAACAUGCACUGGCGACUGCUCUCUCUCUGGGUGACUGGAACUCUGAUGACUCUUUGCUGGGGCAGGAGUGUUGAAGUUGAUGACUAUGAAGUAACAACAGCUGACUAUGACUAUGAAAAUACUACAUUUGAAUACUACUAUUACAUCAACUCAUCUCUCAGCUAUGAAGAAUUUGAAAUUCUUUCGGAGAAAACAGCAGAAGCAACAGACAAGGCCUCAGAGGUCACACGUUCAGCCUCCACCAUCUUCCUGGUCCUCUCCAUCCAGCAGCUCUUUCACUCACUUUAAAUGGGACCAAAUCUUACAGAACACACACAAAGUUAUAUAAUGAAGAUGCCAAGAGAGAGUUUCUAAAUCACCCCGCCUGCCUGCACAUCGUCAGUCAUGAACAUCACACUAACAUGGAUCUCAGGUGUUUUCAGGGACAAGGGAGAAAUACAUUUAAUUUAAAAGCCAUACAUUUUUAUAUUAAAAGUCAUACAAUAUUAUGAAGCCAACGAUUUUAUCAGUAAUUGUAAUCCAAGCAAGCCUAAUACUUUGCACAGUGCUCUACGUGUUCCAGAAGCACUUCUACUCCUGACUCUAUUUUCUACAAACAGGUUACUGGACCUCCUAUGAGGAAUGUUAUAUUUUUCAAGAAAUGUUUUCUUGGUUGGGGUUGUGCUUGUGAAAAGACUUACACUUGUUUAUAUUUUAGUAUGGUUAUUCAUCAAUAAAUAUUUUAACCUAACCCUCAAUGUAAUUUAAAACUGAAAUGAGAUUUGCUUUUAUAUGUCAUGUAGUCUUCUUCACAGUAAACAUAAACACACUUUUACUAUGUCUGAUUAAA